rnacentral:rRNA from 1 species
CCUGGUAGUCCACGCCCUAAACGAUGUCUACUAGUUGUCGGGUCUUAAUUGACUUGGUAACGCAGCUAACGCGUGAAGUAGACCGCCUGGGGAGUACGGUCGCAAGAUUAAAACUCAAAGGAAUUGACGGGGACCCGCACAAGCGGUGGAUGAUGUGGAUUAAUUCGAUGCAACGCGAAAAACCUUACCUACCCUUGACAUGGCUGGAAUCCUUGAGAGAUCAGGGAGUGCUCGAAAGAGAACCAGUACACAGGUGCUGCAUGGCUGUCGUCAGCUCGUGUCGUGAGAUGUUGGGUUAAGUCCCGCAACGAGCGCAACCCUUGUCAUUAGUUGCUACGAAAGGGCACUCUAAUGAGACUGCCGGUGACAAACCGGAGGAAGGUGGGGAUGACGUCAAGUCCUCAUGGCCCUUAUGGGUAGGGCUUCACACGUCAUACAAUGGUACAUACAGAGCGCCGCCAACCCGCGAGGGGGAGCUAAUCGCAGAAAGUGUAUCGUAGUCCGGAUUGUAGUCUGCAACUCGACUGCAUGAAGUUGGAAUCGCUAGUAAUCGCGGAUCAGCAUGUCGCGGUGAAUACGUUCCCGGGCCUUGUACACACC